UGACAGUUUUACUGGGAGUUUGCUGAAGGGGCACGAACACAACACCCUGACCUUCCCUUUGAGUGUCAGCCCUGAUAAGCACAGGCAAUAAUUAUAUCCAACAACUGCCAUGACCCACACACACUUAUCUUUGGAAGCAAAGAGCCUCCUAAACUAACUUAUUUUUAAACCAUGGGGAGACACUUCAGUUGCUACACAAGGCAGUCUUAAAUAUCAUGACUUAAAGUUUAAAUAUAACUAAAGCUAAUUAGGGAAUGUUCUUCCAACUGUCCACUUUCUUGUCAACUCUACCAGACAGCAGGAAAUUCCAUUGCAUUCCUUUACCACAUCUCAGAGAUUCAUCAACUCAGAAUUAACCGACCCACUACAUCUCACAAAAAAAGGGAAAAUCAUCAAUUCCCUUCAGUACAGUUUUGAAAAGCUACUUGAGCUCAUCUUCACGUCCCAGAAAGUUCUCCUUUCAGGAGAGCAGAACACUUGCAUCAUACAGCUUCCUUUCAAGAAUUCCAACUCAAUUUAGUGCUUUUUCAAAUUAAUUUUUUGCUUCAGCACUUGUUUCAUCGUGGUAUUUGGAUGUUUGCAACCACUAAAUACCUCUCACCUGCAGUACCUGGACAUCACAUCUGCCUUACAGAACAAGAUGUACCCACUCCUACAACUGCAGCACCUUCUUGCACACGUAACCGCUGACAUUUAGGACUGAAGGACUAAUCUAAGAGGUCUUCAUAUAAAUUUCUGUAUAAAGUUAUUAAGUGAAGUCCUUUGAUGCUAAAGCAUUAAAAUACGGCUUUUUAGCAACUAUUCAUGAGCAACUGUGUGAACAACUGCAGAGACUUCCAAGAUUAUAAGUUUAUAAUCACAGGUGAAGAAUUCAUUUAGUAAAUACAGCUAUUUUUAAAACCCAAUAAACAAAACAGCUACAGUGUCAGUUGAAACAACACAAGACCUUCAGCUGCUUGUCCAGAGUUUGGAAAUUGUAAAAUUAGCGAACACAGACUAAACAGAUGUGGUUGUGUACAGCAGAGGUUGCCAACCUUUUAUCUGCAUUUAAUCUAGUUAUGAAAAAUACAGUAUUCCACUACUCCUGCAGCACAUUUUAGAACUACAUGCCUUGCACACUUAAAUCAAUUUCAGUGUCAGCAAGAAUCAGCUUCAUUUGGAUCAGGACAAUUUUAACAGAUGCUGAUCUCAUCAGCCCUUGCCCAAAGCCUCAUUUCUAUCAACAGAGGUGAAGCAGGCACAGGAUUGUUCCCCUCUCACAACACUGUUUGUCUUGUUUUCAGGACAUUUGGUUGAUUUGAAGUCAAAAGUAUUACCUUAAAUGAUUUUACAAGCAGAAGUCGAGCCUUUCAGAUGUCCUACAAAUAAACAGAUCUAACAUUCAGGCAGUCAAUUACAAGUGAAAUGUCUUACCUUCAAGAAUUUUCAUGGUUAUCUUAAAUGGGUUUACAUAACCUUU